rnacentral:rRNA from 1 species
CGCAAGCCUGAUGCAGCAACGCCGCGUGAGGGACGAAGGCCUUCGGGUCGUAAACCUCUUUUAGCAGGGAAGAAGCGAAAGUGACGGUACCUGCAGAAAAAGCACCGGCUAACUACGUGCCAGCAGCCGCGGUAAUACGUAGGGUGCGAGCGUUAUCCGGAAUUAUUGGGCGUAAAGAGCUCGUAGGCGGUUUGUCACGUCUGCUGUGAAAACUGGAGGCUCAACCUUCAGCCUGCAGUGGGUACGGGCAGACUAGAGUGCGGUAGGGGAGAUUGGAAUUCCUGGUGUAGCGGUGGAAUGCGCAGAUAUCAGGAGGAACACCGAUGGCGAAGGCAGAUCUCUGGGCCGUUACUGACGCUGAGGAGCGAAAGCGUGGGGAGCGAACAGGAUUAGAUACCCUGGUAGUCCACGCCGUAAACGGUGGGCGCUAGAUGUGGGGACCAUUCCACGGUUUCCGUGUCGCAGCUAACGCAUUAAGCGCCCCGCCUGGGGAGUACGGCCGCAAGGCUAAAACUCAAAGGAAUUGACGGGGGCCCGCACAAGCGGCGGAGCAUGCGGAUUAAUUCGAUGCAACGCGAAGAACCUUACCAAGGCUUGACAUACACGAGAACGGGCCAGAAAUGGUCAACUCUUUGGACACUCGUGAACAGGUGGUGCAUGGUUGUCGUCAGCUCGUGUCGUGAGAUGUUGGGUUAAGUCCCGCAACGAGCGCAACCCUCGUCCUAUGUUGCCAGCACGUAAUGGUGGGAACUCAUGGGAGACUGCCGGGGUCAACUCGGAGGAAGGUGGGGAUGACGUCAAAUCAUCAUGCCCCUUAUGUCUUGGGCUUCACGCAUGCUACAAUGGCCGGUACAAAGGGCUGCAAUACCGUAAGGUGGAGCGAAUCCCAAAAAGCCGGUCUCA